rnacentral:misc_RNA from 1 species
GAUGAAGAACGCAGCGAAAUGCGAUAAGUAAUGUGAAUUGCAGAAUUCAGUGAAUCAUCGAAUCUUUGAACGCACAUUGCGCCCGCUGGUAUUCCGGCGGGCAUGCCUGUUCGAGCGUCAUUUCAACCCUCAAACCCCCGGGUUUGGUGUUGGGGAUCGGCUCUGCCUCACGGCGGUGCCGCCCCCGAAAUACAUUGGCGGUCUCGCUGCAGCCUCCAUUGCGUUGUAGCUAACACCUCGCAACUGGAACGCGGCGCGGCCAUGCCGUAAAACCCCAACUUCUGAAUGUUGACCUCGGAUCAGGUAGGAAUACCCGCUGAACUUAAGCAUAUCAAUAAGCGGAGGA